rfam:Luteococcus japonicus LSP_Lj1 genome assembly, contig: Scaffold29
UGCGCUGGCUGCGGGCCAUGCAAGGAUGUCGACGAUCGAGAGCGAGGAAGCCGGUGUGAAUCCGGCACGGUCCCGCCACUGUGAGCGCCCCAGGGGCGCGGAGUCAGGAACUCACUCGGUCCUUCGCAAUCCG